GAUGAACGCUGGCGGCGUGCCUAAUACAUGCAAGUCGAGCGAACAGACGAGGAGCUUGCUCCUCUGACGUUAGCGGCGGACGGGUGAGUAACACGUGGAUAACCUACCUAUAAGACUGGGAUAACUUCGGGAAACCGGAGCUAAUACCGGAUAAUAUAUUUAACCGCAUGGUUCAAUAGUGAAAGACGGUUUUGCUGUCACUUAUAGAUGGAUCCGCGCCGCAUUAGCUAGUUGGUAAGGUAACGGCUUACCAAGGCAACGAUGAGUAGCCGACCUGAGAGGGUGAUCGGCCACACUGGAACUGAGACACGGUCCAGACUCCUACGGGAGGCAGAGGUAGGGAAUCUUCCGCAAUGGGCGAAGGCCUGACGGAGCAACGCCGCGUGAGUGAUGAGGGUCUUCGGAUCGUAAAACUCUGUUAUUAGGGAAGAACAAAUGUGUAAGUAACUAUGCACGUCUUGACGGUACCUAAUCAGAAAGCGACGGCUAACUACGUG
rnacentral:rRNA from 1 species